AGUGGAUCCAACACUUUUUGGUUUUGCCUUACAGUCUGGGAGAUAAAAGCCUACCAUUGGAUUAAGUUUGAGCUCAAUAUUUUACAAGGGAGACGCGCCAUUGCAAGAAGGCAAGGUAAAGCGCAGGAAGCGAUAGGCGGCGACCAACUCAACCAAUACUACCAUACACAAGGGGGUAAAGACAAUCUGAAGCAAGGAAGGGCUGAGAAAGAGAUUGUCGAUACGUGCUGUAGAACUUGGACAAGAAGCAUCUCGUGGACACGUGGUGCAGGCAGCGAAGAAGCAGAUACAAGACAUUGGAUCUGGUUGCGUCAUCGGGGGUUGUGUGCAGGAACGUGUAGGCCAAGGUCUGGUGCACGAAUUUUGGCAACAGCCGAAGACGACGAGAAGGUUCCAGUUGAGUUUGAAAGUCUUCAAAGUGUGCGUGGCGCUACAGAGAGGCGCGAGCACGAGACGGAGCGGGACAGCAGCAAUCAUCCCCGAGUGUAAGCGGGGCAAAAGAGGUCAGACUGGAGAGGGAGCGUUGCCAGAAAGUUUGUUUUUGUAAUAUUUUUAAAAUGGAGAGAAGCGAGAUCUUGGCAUUGCGAGUUUGAGAGUUGCGUUGGAAGUUGUAUGAGUUGCAAUUGAGUACGACUGGAUUAAAGGUGGAAUUGCAACAGAGAUUAUUGUCACAUUACGAAGUAUAUAUCGAGGGUGAGUCAGAGACGGAGGAUAAUGGUGAGAAGAUAUUAUAUCGGUGUCAUCCGUGUCAACUACAAUCAAUCGACAAAACAGAGCAGGCUGGCAUCAAGGGCUAGGAGUUGAGAGACCAGGUAGAUCGUGGUUCACCCUUAAAGAUGUCGAGGGCAGCGUAAGUCAGUUCUCAGGAUCGAAGUCCCCGGAUAUCGAUCAAUGGAGAGGAGAGUUGGAAGAUUGUGCAGCUACAGUUGAGUGGAACCAGCUACAGGUAUUCGUGUAUGCAAAACAGUUGCUAGGUGGAGCAGCCAAGAUGUUUGUGCAGAAAGUUUGAAAUCGGCCUUGUUAGAGGAGUUUGGAGUUAACCUAUUGUAGUUUUUGGGUUAGAGUUUUUUUUGUUAAAGGCCGACUUUCGUAACUUUUUGCUAGCUCCUGUUUGGUACAUCAGCUGAUCGACGAUACAAGGUGGUAGAAGUUCCAGGUAAAGAGAGGUUUAUUUGUAAUCAUGUUAGCAUUUUGGAAAUGGCGUAUGUCCCACUUUCGCUGUUAACCGGAUGCGCAGGAAGUUCAGCUUAUGCCACGGUCUUUUCAAUUCUAGACGUGAGUCGAUCAAGUCGCUUCUCAGACCAAUACCAAGUUUUAGGGCAAAGAACUUAAACUGCGUCUGAAAAUUGUACAACGAUAUUCAGAAAAUACCUGAAGAGAAAUACAGCUGCCGCUGGGCCGCUUGGAAUAUCAAAAAAGUGCCAAACGCAAGUAAGUGGUAAGCCAUACAUUUUUGUUUGUGUUUUUAUUAAGCAGAAAAUUGUGAAUCGGUAUAAUCAACAUUUUUUUUCUUCUCUCUUUUCCUUUUGUUUUCCGUUUUUGCAAGUGCAGAUUGGCACUUGGUACUUAGUGCAAAUCUUUUACAUUGAAGCUACAAGUUCAUUCACCCUUGAACCAAAGCCGUGCAUUAAAGGGAAUAAAAUCACUCGUUUUGCCGAGUAGAAAAGCACAAACAAAAACUACUGUUUUGUCUACGGCAGUGCCAAAUAAUUAAUAAUUGAUUGCGCUCCCGGCGAUCGGGAAUUCGCCGCUAUUAGGCGCAACUAAAGCCGAGAGAAGCCGCUGCAAUUGGACGAGAAAUAGUUUAAUUCGCACCUCCGAAGCCACCGUCUGGACGGGGAAGCCGUAACCUUCGUUAAAUUGUUGUAUACAUAUCUCUGGCUUUUUUUUUUGUCCCACACUAGCCUAAGUGUAAAAUAAGUUUGGUAGUGUUAAGUGAAACAUGAAAUAUUAAGUGAUUACGGAGGAAUGUAAAAGUCACAUAAAAGUGGUUAAAAAUUUUAAUAUUGUGUGGAGCAUUAGAAAACGCCGUUAAUUGGUGCAAUCGACGUUCCUCUUCCCUUUUUGUUCUUCGUGCAUGUCUUUCUCUUCUAAUAUUGUCUGGUAUUCACCACAGUGGCGUUGAGAGCCGAAAAUAUGCGAGCAUUGAAGAGAGAGAAGACGAAGAUCGCGAGAGCGAAG
rnacentral:lncRNA from 1 species